AAGGGAUAGCACUUUGGGUGUGGUCAACAAAAAUUCUUACAAAUAAGAGAUAGCAGAAUCCGAAAAACAGUCAAACACCCCUUAAAGAAUAGCAGUUGGUCGAAUUUUAAAACCUAAGAGAUAACAGAGUCGGAAAAACCGUUAAACACCCCCUAAAGGAUAGCAGUUGGCCAAAAUUUUUCACCCUAAAAGAUGGGAUGACCAGCGCCGUCUACUUCUCUGGAGCUCCUGCGUACGAUUCCCUUCGAUCGCUCAAAGCCAAAGAUUAUUUCCUAAAAUACUUCAUUGACUGUGCUCUUUCAUGUGAGCUAGUUCUUGUACGCGCCUGGGAAAAACGCAAAGCAAGAAUUAAACACGAAGGCGCGGUAUAAAAGGGUGCUUCCAUUGGAAGCAUCGGCUCAUUUGUCAAUCAACCGCCGUGGAGUGAGGAGCAAAUUCAAGAUGGCGGCAAAAGUCAAGUACAAAACACAGAGGGGAGAGGUUUCAAAGCGCGUCCUGAUGUAUAAAAAUGCCAACUCUACCUUCUAGUCCGAUAGAAUGUGUAAAAAAAGAAACAAAGCUAAGAAACCAACGUGGUUUAUGCAAAAAAGGAGCAAACGCAUGAUCGGAAAACAACGAUUCCAAACCUCGACAAAAGCUAUACCCAAGAAGCAAGUCAUAGUGACAUCUGAAUAAUCAACAAGAUAUAAUCCUCAAGAAAAAGCAGAUACAUAGACAUAUACAGUAUUACAUUUUCCAUGUGAUUUUUAAUCAUAAACAUUCCUUUAUAAAGGAAACAUGUUUUGUUGCUAUCAAGUUGAUUUAUGUGUUUUGAAGUGUAUAAAGCAACCAGUCAUAUUUAAUAAACUGCAUUAUAGAUUAUACUUUUGAAUAAACCAAAAUGCUUUCUCAUUCAGUUCAAGGCUUUUCAUUCUUACAGUAAAAGCAAGUGUAAAUACAGGGAGGAUAUCAAUUGUAAAAGUCAUGUCUCUAUUUUGUAUAAUUAACUUAUAAAGUAUAAAACAUUUGUUUGGGUAAACUCUUUUAAAACCAAAGAUCCAGGCCGUUUUUUGACAAAUAGAAACAAAGCUAAUUCAAUUGCUAUUAUUUCUACAUUAUUUGUGGUCAUCAUAGAUCGCAAGAUAAAAACAAAAUACUAUACAGGUGCAUUCUGAUCCAAAAAGUAGAAAGACUCAAUUAUGGCUCAAUCUCACUUAGAUGGAUAUCAGGCAUUUCUUUAGUAGCCCUUCAGUGGUUUGGUGUACAUAUAUGUGUAAGUAUACAAGCUGAUAUAUUGUACAAAGGGUUAUCUGCUGUUUCUGUGAGCCAGCUAUGCACUAAAAAAAAUAUUGAAACAAAUGUUAUCUUAUAUUGUAUACCCCUCCCUUGUUUUUUACAGUUUCUGUGAGCCAGUUAUGCACUAUAAAAAAACAAAUAUUGAAACAAAUGUUUUCUUUUAUUGUAUACCACUCCCUUGUUUUGUGCAGAAAAAUAGUAAGUGUUGCAUUUUAUUGGGAUGGUACUAAGCCCUACUUUUAACCCAGUCAGUUGCUGAAGCCUGAUCAUGGUAAACAUGUAUUGAUCAACUAUUAAAUUUGGUAAAAAGAUAAUAAAGACAAAUUGACUUUCUGUCAAA